UUAAUAGUAUCAAGUGCUUUGUGCUAUUAGGUUUUCGGCUCGGAUGAAGGAAUGUGUGGUUAGAAUAAUGAUAGUUUUCUAAAAUUAAAUAAAUAAUUGUAUAUAUAUAAUACAUAUUCAAUUAUAAAAAACUCUAUUCAUAUGAAAAAUUUCAAUCAUUAGAUUAAAGCCUAAUUCGUAAGAUCUCAUAAAUUUAUGCAUUAUAUUUAUAUGUUUUUAAUUCUUUUAACUUGUUGUUCGUGAGUUGACUCGUAUUCAGCUCGUUAAUAAACGAGCUGAACACGAGUUAAAUUUUUCGGCUCGAUAUUUUAACGAGUCAAUUUAUGUUCGGCUUAUUUGCAAAAUGAGUAGA
rnacentral:lncRNA from 1 species